UAUCAUUCUAAUAAAUGGAAUUGGUAAGGAGAUUCCAAAUCUAACUGUUUUUUUUAAGUCUUUCUGUUUUUAUCCUUUCUUCACUCUACUUCUAGAGGUACCCAGUGUCAUUAACUUCUGAGCCCUUUGGCAUUUCCAUCCUACAAGUUUCUUCUUGGAUUUUUCCACUGCUGGCAUAAGAAUCAACUUUUUCAAGUCUGCUGAACCAGUUAUUGUCUUGUCUGGAUUCCUCAAAAGCAGAUCCUGAGACAAAGGCUGAUGCACAAAAUGUAUUUAUUGAAUAUCCACUGAGUGCUGAUGUGCUCAGUGCUGGGGAUCCUGAGACCAAUAAGACACAUUAAUUGACUGCUGGGACUUACCAUCUAGUUGGGAAAGACAUGAAGAAAUUUAGGAUGACACAAGGAAUCUACGUAUUUAGGGUAACAGAAAGACAGACUGAAAAGAUAACAUCAUUAUUGCCAAAACCUAAGAUUGGAUGCAAGAUAUUUUUGGACCUUUGCAUUCUGACUACCAACUGACUCCACCCAGACCCGUGGUUCAUACCAAGGAACUGACUCCCACCCAGAAACUGACUCAGCACGUGAAGACAGUUUGGACCCUCCUAUGAUUUCAUCCCCAACCAAUCAGCAGCACCCAUUUCCUAGCCCCCUGCCUGCCAAAUUAUCCUUUAAACCCUAGCCUACAAGCUUUAGAGGAGGUGGAUUUGAGCAACAUCUCCCAUUCCUGCACUUGGCUGGUCU
rnacentral:lncRNA from 1 species